rnacentral:lncRNA from 1 species
GGAUUUCGACCGAUUUCGACUCUACAAAGUGGCACCAAGAAUAAUGGCAAGACGAGCAACAACGGCCCAUGUGCUCCGAUUGUUUGAACUUUCAGGCACUUCCUUGAGUGCGGAUGAGGCAGUCCAGAAGAAAUUGCCACAAGACAUAGUUGCCUUGGCAAAAUAGUUGCCCGCAAGAUCGCCACCAUCAUCAAGGGCCAGAAGAAGCACUUGUAGGUUUGAUUAUGAGAAUAGUUUGAAACAUAUGCCUCAU